AAUUUGAAUGAUGAACUUAUUAUAACAGAUUUUAAUAACUUGAAAUCCUGAGGAUGAAAAUAAACAUUAAAUACUUUUCACCUAAUAGUUGCCAAACGCAUAUGGGUGAUAAUAAUCUAGUUAUAUCCAUGCUAUCCACGGCGGAUUAAUGACCGAAAUUAAGUCUCACCCUUUUUCAAAUUAUUGCUAAAAGAAGCAUGCUUUCCUUUGAUCAUCAUAAGCAUUGUUUACUCGUUGAACAAA